GUGAGGUGGAGCAAAACUCAAAAACUUGUCUCAGUUCGGAUUGUAGGCUGAAACUCGCCUACAUGAAGCUGGAGUUGCUAGUAAUCGCGAAUCAGCAUGUCGCGGUGAAUACGUUCCCGGGCCUUGUACACACCGCCCGUCACACCAUGAGAGUUGGCAAUACCCAACGUACGUGAUCUAACCCGCAAGGGAGGAAGCGUCCUAAGGUAGGGUCAGCGAUUGGGGUGAAGUCGUAACAAGGUAAC
rnacentral:rRNA from 1 species